rnacentral:lncRNA from 1 species
GGGUGACGGUCCUCUGCCAUCUCCCAGCUGGGAAGAGGAUGGGAAAUGGGGUGGGGAAGGGGCUGGGAAAGGGAUGGGAAAGAGGUUGAGGAAGGGGUCAGGAAAGGGGUCAGGGAAGGGGAUGGGGAAGGGAUGGAGGAAGGGGAUGGGGAAGGGGUCAGGGAAAGGAUUGAGGAAGGGGAUGGGAUCGAGGAAGGGGUCAGGGAAGGGGUCAGGGAAGGGGAUGGAGGAAGGGGAAGGGGUCGAGGAAGGGAUCGAGGAAGGGGAUGGGGAAGGGGUCAGGGAAAGGAUUGAGGAAUGGGAUGAGAUCGAGGAAGGGGUCAGGGAAGGGGUCAGGGAAGGGGAUGGAGGAAGGGGAAGGGGUCGAGGAAGGGAUCGAGGAAGGGGAUGGGGAAGGGGUCAGGGAAAGGAUUGAGGAAGGGGAUGAGAUCGAGGAAGGGGUCAGGGAAGGGGUCGAGGAAAGGGAUGGGGAAGGGAUGGAGGAAGGGGUCGAAGAAGAGGUCAGGGAAGGGGUCGAGAAAGGGGAUGGAGAAGGGGUCGAGAAAAAGGAUGGGGAAGGGGUCGAGGAAGGGGUCAGGGAAGGGGAUGGCGACGAGUCCCCUCUGCCAUCUUCCAGCUGGAAAGGGGAUGGGAAAUGGGGUGGGGAAGGGGUUGGGGACGGGAUCGAGGAAGGGGAUGGGGAAGGGAUCGAGGAAGGGGUCAGGGAAGGGGAUGGGGAAGGGGUCAGGGAAGGGGAUGGCGACGAGUCCCCUCUGCCAUCUUCCAGCUGGAAAGGGGAUGGGAAAGGGGCUGGGGACGGGAUCGAGGAAGGGGUCAGGGAAGGGGAUGGGGAAGGGGUCAUGGAAGGGGAUGGGGUCAGGGAAGGGGAUGGCGACGAGUCCCCUCUGCCAUCUUCCAGCUGGAAAGGGGAUGGGAAACGGGGUGGGGAAGGGGCUGGGGAAGGGGUUGAGGAAGGGGAUGGGGAAGGGGUCGAGGAAGGGGAUGGGGAAGGGGUCAGUGAAGGGGAUGGGAAAUGGGGUGGGGAAGGGGCUGGGGAAG